GUGGCUCUCUUCGCUGUUGGCUGCAUUUGUGAGAAAUGGAAUGCAGUCGUAAGCAGCCACAAACAGUAAAGCAAAAUGGUUCCUGCCGACAGUGUCUGUAGAGUUAUCAGAUUUUUCUGUGCGAUGGUUCCAUACAUU
rnacentral:snoRNA from 1 species